ACUCAUGUUGGUCUUGAUGUUCAAGAACUUGCCAUUCCUUAAAAUAGGGUUUUCUAAAGAAAACGUCCCAUUUCUCACUCUUUUGUACUCCUCCGUUUCUAUGUUUCUCGCUCCCUUCACCCUCUAUUUGCUGGUGCUUCAUCCCUGGGUCCCUAACAUUAUUCAUCCAUGGAAAACUAGGAUAUAUCAGCUCAAAAAGAUGUGAAAUCCGAUGGAGGUGUUUAGAGUUCAAGAUAAACUUUUUUGUUGAUUUAAUCAUGAAACUCCUUCUAGAGGCUUGAGUCUUUCUACAUUUAAAAGAAAAGGAAAGUGAUUCAGAACAGAGGUAUGUGCAAAUGUUGAUCCAACUAUUAAUGGAUGUUGCAAGAACAUGUAAGAUGACUUAGUCACUUUUGUUUUUAGGUAUGCCCUAUUUUGUAGUUUUAAAUAAUGUAUACUGUUUCUAAUGUUUGUAUUCAACUUCGAGUGAAACUGUAAUUAAUCUCUGUUAGGU